rnacentral:rRNA from 1 species
CCUACGGGAGGCAGCAGUGAGGAAUAUUGGUCAAUGGACGAGAGUCUGAACCAGCCAAGUAGCGUGAAGGAUGACUGCCCUAUGGGUUGUAAACUUCUUUUAUAUGGGAAUAAAAUGUUCCACGUGUGGGAUUUUGUAUGUACCAUAUGAAUAAGGAUCGGCUAACUCCGUGCCAGCAGCCGCGGUAAUACGGAGGAUCCGAGCGUUAUCCGGAUUUAUUGGGUUUAAAGGGAGCGUAGGUGGAUUGUUAAGUCAGUUGUGAAAGUUUGCGGCUCAACCGUAAAAUUGCAGUUGAAUCUGGCAGUCUUGAGUACAGUAGAGGUGGGCGGAAUUCGUGGUGUAGCGGUGAAAUGCUUAGAUAUCACGAAGAACUCCGAUUGCGAAGGCAGUUCACUGGACUGCAACUGACACUGAGGCUCGAAAGUGUGGGUAUCAAACAGGAUUAGAUACCCGAGUAGUC